rnacentral:rRNA from 1 species
UACGUAGGUGGCAAGCGUUGUCCGGAAUUAUUGGGCGUAAAGCGCGCGCAGGCGGCCUUUUAAGUCUGAUGUGAAAGCCCACGGCUCAACCGUGGAAGGUCAUUGGAAACUGAAAGGCUUGAGUACAGAAGAGGAAAGCGGAAUUCCACGUGUAGCGGUGAAAUGCGUAGAGAUGUGGAGGAACACCAGUGGCGAAGGCGGCUUUCUGGUCUGUAACUGACGCUCAUGCACGAAAGCGUGGGGGAGCAAACAGG